rfam:Oryza glaberrima chromosome 6 Oglab06_0048_29, whole genome shotgun sequence.
CAUAGGCAGUGUCUUGGUUAAGGGAACGGAACCCACCGGAGCCGUAGUGAAAGCGAGUCUUCAUAGGGCGAUUGUCACUGCUUAUGGACCCGAACCUGGGUGAUCUAUCCAUGACCAGGAUGAAGCUUGGAUGAAACUAAGCAGAGGUCCGAACCGACUGAUGUUCAAGAAUUAACGGAUGAGUUGUGGUUAGGGGUGAAAUGCCGCUCGAACCCAGAGCUAGCUGG